AAAGCGGGUGAAAAGAAGAAGAAAAAGAGGCGGAAAAACAGGCAACGCAACCGAAACUGCAACUGAAAUGCUGCGCAAACAACUUUGAACGUCAAUUUGUCAACUCGCAGCGGAGAAUUGAAUGCAAAAUCUUUGCGCCACAUCGCUGACGUCGCGUCGUUUCAUUUCGUUUCGUUUGCCUGCCUGACGCAGUCCGGGCCAAUUUGGGAUGGGGUCUAAUGUGCCGCAGUCACGCUGCAGGCCAGGUUAUUUUCGCCGACUUUAAUGGCGAUUAAUCACACUACUUUGGCCUGGACGCACUUGCAUUGCCACAAAGGCCACUAAGGAAAUGCAAACACUUUGGGAUUAAUGACGUAAGCGAAGUGGCAGUGUUUAUUAACUUCUUGUGCUGCAGGGUAUGCAGCGGUCCGUAGAACCGGUUUUUUGUCGAGGUAGGUGCAUGGUAAUGUCAGCUUAAUACCGUUAUCGUAGGUGCGGCAAACACGUCGCUGCGGCUGCGACUGCGCCGUCAACUGCGGCAGCGCCUCAGCUUGAUAAUGAGCCGUUAGGACGGACAGCAAAAGGAGAAGAAGACGCAUAAGCUUCCGCAAUGCAAAGCAGCUGAGCAAGAACGAGAGGGAGCGAUUGUGCAAGGCGAAAUGCAAAACUGAUAAGAAAAGUCCGUUUAAGUCGCUCCAAAUAUGUUACACGCCAUUCAGAGGAGAAAGAGAAGACAUAUAUGUAUGCAUGUGUGUGUAAGCGCAGCAGAAGGAGAGAGGGAGUGCAGGCGAAUGCAAAAUCAAAGUGCUGCCUACGUGAGCGACACCUUGCGAUUAACAGACAAAAAAAGGUACCCGAUUAAGAUCGAAACAACUAAUACCCUAUCGGCAAACAAUUUUAAAAAGAUUGAGUAUAUUCAUUAUUCAUUUCCAUAUGUAAAUAAACAUUGGUUUUAAAGUAUUCUCCAAAAAUAUACGAAAAUUCUAUUCUAGCUCUCAUAUUAAGUUUAUUAUAAAAAAUUCGUGCAAGUACCAUUUUAAAAUAGACCUUUUUAGCUGGCUAAAGAGGCUAUACCUCUUGUGGAAGGGUACAAUGAAACAGAAUAGCUGAAAGACAAGCCCGAAAACGUCCAAACUCUCCGUGAAGUGCAAUUCCUUUUUCGAUUCUUUUUCUGUUAUUUUGCUGACUCGCUAAAUUUGUUACCGUGCUUUCGAGCUUUCUGCUGUUGUUAUUAUUUUUGCUGUGUCCAGCAGCAGCAAUAAUAAGAACAACAACAGCAAAAACGACAGUGGCAACGAUAACAACUUCUCAACCGUGCUGAUGAGCGAAGUGCGAGAGAGAGAGGGCGACUGAGAGGACAGGCAGCAACAAUAUUUACAGCUUUAGCGGCCAAUAGCACA